rnacentral:rRNA from 1 species
AUUGAACGCUGGCGGCAGGCCUAACACAUGCAAGUCGAGCGAGCGGCGGACGGGUGCGUAAUAUCUGGGAAACUGCCUGAUGGAGGGGGAUAACUACUGGAAACGGUAGCUAAUACCGCAUACCAUCAGAUGUGCCAAGAGGGGAUUAGCUCUGAGGUGGGGUAACGGCUCACCUAGGCGACGAUCCCUAGCUGGUCUGAGCGGAUGACCAGCCCAACUGGAACUGAGACACGGUCCAGACUCCUACGGUAGGCAGCAGUGGGGAAUAUUGAACAAGGGGCGCAAGCCUGAUGCAGCCAUGCCGCGUGUGUGAAGAAGUCCUUCGGGUUGUAAAGCACUUUCAGCGGGGAGGCGUUACCCGCAGAAGAAGCACCGGCUAACUCCGUGCCAGCAGCCGCGGUAAUUC